GUCCACACCGUAAACGUUGGGCGCUAGGUGUGGGAUCCAUUCCACGGGUUCCGUGCCGCAGCUAACGCAUUAAGCGCCCCGCCUGGGGAGUACGGCCGCAAGGCUAAAACUCAAAGGAAUUGACGGGGCCCGCACAAGCGGCGGAGCAUGCGGAUUAAUUCGAUGCAACGCGAAGAACCUUACCUGGGUUUGACAUACACCCUGCCGCCUCAGAGAUGGGGUUUCUUUGGGGUGUACAGGUGGUGCAUGGCUGUCGU
rnacentral:rRNA from 1 species